CCUACGGGAGGCAGCAGUGAGGAAUAUUGGUCAAUGGGCGGAAGCCUGAACCAGCCAAGUAGCGUGCGGGAUGAAGGCCCUACGGGUCGUAAACCGCUUUUGCACGGGGAUAACACCCUCCACUUGUGGAGGUCUGCAGGUACCGUGCGAAUAAGGGCCGGCUAAUUCCGUGCCAGCAGCCGCGGUAAUACGGAAGGCCCGAGCGUUAUCCGGAUUCAUUGGGCUUAAGGGGAGCGUAGGCGGGCGUUCAAGUCAGCUGUAAAAUCGCGCGGAUAAACCGCGCCCCGCAGUUGAAACUGGACGCAUUGAGUUCACAACAGGCAGGCGGAAUUCGUGGUGUAGCGGUGAAAUGCAUAGAUAGCACGAGGAACCCCGAUUGCGAAGGCAGCCUGCCGGGGUGCGACUGACGCUGAGGCUCGAAGGUGCGGGUAUCAAACAGGAUUAGAUACCCCGGUAGUC
rnacentral:rRNA from 1 species